rnacentral:SRP_RNA from 1 species
GCCGAGCCAUGUAACGUGGGCUUGUAACCCAAGUGGGGGCUUUGAAGUGGUUGAACAUUGACCUAGCUCAUCCAGUCGGGCCGUAGGUGGCUAAUUGCUGGCCUGCCCAUUCCAAGUGUGGAGUUGGGCUAUGUGGUUCGGGCUAAAGCUCGGGCCACGUGGUCCCUAAAUCGAAGGGCACCGCGCAAGGCUGGCUUCACAGAGCAACGAUAACCUUCAGCCCCUUACAGUGGAAGGAUAACGGGCUGGUUGCUUCCUUGGCCUACUUAAGCUUGAUGGGCUAGCUCUAAUUGAACAAUCAUUUUU